rnacentral:lncRNA from 1 species
CUGGAAAGAGAGUUGUAAGUAGCAUGUUGAAAUACGAAAAAAUGUAGAAAAUAGUUGAUGCUGAACUUGAUAAACUUGAACUCAACUCUUGAUAUAAGUUUCAGGGAGGGAGUAUGUAGCCUGAAAUAUUGACAAAUAGUGUGAAUAAAGUCAAAGUCAGGAAUGAGUAAAGGAAGAAAUCUCAAUAAAAGAAGUCUUUUAUAACUUCUUAUAUUUUUGUUCAAUAAGAUUGAAAAACACCAAGAAAUAAAAAAAAAAAAUCAAAAAGUAAGUAAUUGAUUAAUGGAGGAGGAUCGAUUAACCAGUCGUUCAUGAAGUUGAGAGUGAAUUUAUAUGAGUACAUGUUUGACUUUGAAACAUGUUUUUCCUGAAUUCUAAUUGUUUGAACACUUACCCGUCUUGCUUUCCAAUACUACCCUCCAAAGUCAAAUGUAAACCACUAAAAAGUUAUAUGAAACACCAUGAGUAAGAAGAUUAUGUAGUCGAUGCUGAAAAAGUAAUCUUACUGGUUCUUUGAAGAAUUUCACCAAGCACUUGAUGUGCAUCUUCAAACAUGUCAGAUUUGAACAACGAAAACAAUGUAAUAAGCCCCAAAUUAGUUUUUUCACAGAGCAGGUUUAUCCAAAAUUAGAAGAGGAAAUGUCAUGAUUGAUUAAAUAGGAAACACCUACCAAGAACAUUCACAUGGAACUGAUGAAUAACAGAAGAAAGCACCGCUUGUUACUGAAGCUUUUGCCGACGAUAGAGUGCCAAGUAAGACCAUGAUUUUUAUUAAAUUCUCCUUCUCCACAUUGCAAUUUAAAACUCCUGCACAUACAUACCCGAAACUAUGGUUGUAUGAGAGAGAAUUUCAUAGAAAGUGGAGUGAAGAGAAAGGAAUCGCAAGGCAGGAGUUCAAAAGACAGAACAAAUACAGUGAAUUAAAAUAAGAGGAAGGCAUCGAUGUUGUUAAUAUGUGAAAUAGGUUUUAUAUAAGAAAAAAAGAUAACGGUGGGAAGCACAUGCAACAACUGAUACCUGAGAGUUAGAUUUGUUGGGAAGGGCGGCACCGUCUGAUUGUUUAAGGUACAGUCGAUUCCUCCGGAGAUGAUGAUAUGGUGGAUCUUGGAACAGAGGGAACGAAGAGGACGCAAAAUCGACAAGAAACCGAGGAUUGUUGAGCUGCAACGAAUCGGUAGAAAAAAUCAUCUAAAUUAAAAAACCAAAAUCAAGUGUCCGAUUCACCAACCCCAUAGUCGUUGGAAACCCAGAUAAACGAAAUAGGCGAUGGAGCCGCCGUAGGCUGGGACGACGUGCCGGUUUGUUGUCCUUCGGUCUAUGACUGUUUCGCCUGAACCGUAGAAUAGAAAAAGAUUGGAAGAAUAGUGACAUCGAUUUAGACCAGAAACAUCAACUGGUGGCAUUACUGAUGAAGACAACAAACCCAACCCUAAUUGAGGGAAUCGGGAAUAGAAAACGGGAAGCCACCAGAGGAUGACGACGGAUAUGAGAGGAGGUGAAAGGAGCGAUAAUAGGGUUUUUGAAUAGACGAUGGGAGAGGAGUAUUCGAGGAAGGAAUGAAUGAGUAAUGGAAGGGAAGGAAAGUGAAAAGGUGUCG